rnacentral:lncRNA from 1 species
AACGAGGAACGGUCAUGGAGGGGCGGUGACUAUGGUUCCUUAGGUUGUAUUUGAUGGCCCGGAAAAGUUUUAGGCGAUCCGCUUCUGGAGGGCCCGACCCACUCGGAAGACGUGGGCUAUAGCACACAAAAAUAUGGGAAUCGGGAAGAAUUCUAGUUUUUUGGCCAUAAAACGAAAAACAAUGAGGAGCAGACAUGACGGGGUGGUGACUAUGGUUCCUUUGUUCGUAUUUGAUGGCCCGAAAAUAUUUUAGGUGAUUCGCUUUUCUAGGGGGGUCGGGCUCACUCGGAAGACGUGGGCUAUAGCACACGACAAUAUGGGAAUGAGGUAGAAUUCUAGUUUUUCGGCCGUAAAAUGCAAAAAAAAAACAUGGAGUAGUAAUGACGGGGCAGUGACUAUCGUUCCUUAGGUCGUAUUUGAUGGCCCGAAAAAAUUUUAGGCGAUCCGAUUCUGUGGCGUGGGCUAUAUAGCACACGAAAAUAUGGAAAUCGGGCGGAAUUCUAGUUUUUUUACCUUAAAAUGCAAAAAACAUGAGGAACGGUCAUGGAGGGGAAGUGACUAUGAUUCCUUAGGUCGUAUUUGAUGGCUCGGAAAAAGUUUAGGCGAUUCGGUUCC